rnacentral:tRNA from 6 species
GCGGAAGUGGCUCAGUGGUAGAGCAUCUCCUUGCCAAGGAGAAGGUCGCGAGUUCGAAUCUCGUCUUCCGCUCCA